rnacentral:rRNA from 1 species
UACAGAGGUCCCAAGCGUUGUUCGGAUUCAUUGGGCGUAAAGGGUGCGUAGGCGGCGCGGUAAGUCGGGUGUGAAAUCUCGGGGCUUAACUCCGAAACUGCAUUCGAUACUGCCGUGCUUGAGGACUGGAGAGGAGACUGGAAUUUACGGUGUAGCGGUGAAAUGCGUAGAUAUCGUAAGGAAGACCAGUGGCGAAGGCGGGUCUCUGGACAGUUCCUGACGCUGAGGCACGAAGGCCAGGGGAGCAAACAGG